rnacentral:lncRNA from 1 species
GCAUUGGGUCGGCCUGGUAUUCUGUCGGUGUUGGCGCUUCUUCUCCCAAGCUCUUGCAGCCCCCUCGGGACUAGGUUUCCAACGGCGCUUGCGGGGGGCCUCGCGGAGGUGGAUGUGGAAAAGGCGAGCGCGGGGGAACUGUGCUGUAACCAUCGCCCCGCCUCCACAGAAAGCCCCGAAGCGCCGGCUCGGGGCCGAACGCGGGCAUCCGGCGUUCGUCUGUUAGGCAGGCAGACAUUAAGCGCCUACUGUGUGCUGGGCCCUACUCAAGACCCAGGCGGGGAGAACGGCGUCUGUCCGGUAGGCGCCCAGGGCUGCUGCAAAGCCCCGGAGCGAGGAGUGUGGCCCCUCAAACAGGGAGGAGAUGAGGUCCGAGGCCGACCGAGGUCAGAGACCCGCACCCACGAAAAGGGUCCACCCGUCGGGCUGGCUGCUUCCCAGUGCCGUGGAGAGCCCCUGAAGGUUUCUUUUUUUGAGAAGGAAUCUCGCUGUGUCGCCCAGGCUAGAAUGCAGUGGCGCUUUCUCGGCUCACUGCAACCUCCGCCUCGGGUUCAAGCUAUUCUCGUGCCUCAGCCUCCCGAAUAGCUGGGAUUACAGGCGCCUGCCACCAUGCCCGGUUAAUUUUUGUAUUUUUAGUAGAGACGAGGUUUCACCAUGUUGGCCAGGCUGGUCUUGAACUCUUGACCUCAAAUGAUCCGCCUGCUUCGGCCUCCCCAAGUCCUGGGAUUACAGGCGUGAGCCACCGCGCCUGGCCCCUUGAAGGGUUUUAUGCGGAGCAGUGAUCCCAUUCAUGCAUUUGAAAGACCUCUCUGGCUGUUGUGUGGAGAACAGAUCAAAGGGGGAGAAAGUGAGUUCAGAUAAACCAGCUCCGAGACUGCAUAAUCCAGUCAAGAGAUGAAGGGACUGGGUUUGAGAAUAUUGGGAGAUGAGAAUCAUGGCCCAGCACAGUGGCUCACGCCUGUAAUCCCAGCACUUUGGGAGGCUGAGGCGGGAGGAUCAGUUGAGCCCAGCAGUUGGAGGCCAGCCUGGGCAACAGGGGAAGACCCCAUUUCUACCAAAAAAUACAAAAUUAGCCGGCCAUGGUGGUGCAUGCCACAGUAGUCCCAACUACUCAAAAGGCUGAGGCAGGAGGAUCCUUUGAGCCCUGGAGUUGGAGGCUGCAGUGAGCUAUGAUCAUGCCACUUGCAUUACAGCUAGAAAUUAGUAAGAGCAAGUGACCCCUUGGGUAUGGGUACCCCGUUUCUGAAGUGAUUUUUUUUUUUGAAAGACACGAUCUCCCUCUGUCACCCAGGCUGGAGUGUAGUGGUGUGAUCAUGGCUCACUGCAGCCCCGAACUCCUGGGCUCAAGUGAUCCUCCUGCCUCAGCCUCCUGAGUAGUUGGGACUACAGGCGUGCACCACCAUACCCGACUAAUUUUGUAUUUGUGUGUGUGUGGCGACGGGGUCUCACUAUGUUGCCUAAAGUCAUUUCUUUUUGUUGUUUGUUUGUUUUGAGACAGAGCCUCACUCUGUCACCAGGCUGGAAUGCAGUAGCACAAUCUCGGCUCACUGCAACCUCCGACUCCCUGGUAUAAGCGAUUCUCCUGCCUCAAACUCCCGGGUAGCUGGGAUUAUAGGCAUGCGCCACCACGCCCAGCUAAUUUUUGUAUUUUUAGUAGAGAUGGGGUUUCACCAUGUUGGCCAGGAUGGUCUCGAUCUCCUGACAUCAUGAUCUGCCCACCUCGGCCUCCCAAAAUGCUGAGAUUACAGGCGUGAGCCACCGUGCCCAGCCUGUGAUUUCUUAAUCAGAAGAGUACCUGAUUGCUCUCCUUGGGUUUAAGAAGGCAGAAUAAAUAGCUACAUGAAUUCAGCCCACUGAAUACAUUCUAAAGUGUAACCUCAAUGUGAAAUAUAUUGUAUUGUAAUUGGAAGGCUGGGUCAGGAGCCCCAAAGCUUUGAAAGAACACCUCCUGAGAGUACAGUGGGAAAUCAACCACCAGCAGAUGAUGGUUGAGCUAGAAGAACCACGUGUUUCCACAGGGAGCUGCACACGAGGACCCGGUGGUCCCUGACCUGCCCUCUCCAGGGGGGACCUGCACUUUCUGCCACCAAAGAGGAUUCUCUGUAGGGAGGCCAGGAUGAUUCUCCAGAAUUUACCAUGCCUUGAGAUGAAAUUUCCUUUCAAACUUCCUUGUGUCCUUUUGUCCUCAUUCCAUGUUCACCAGUCUUCUGACUGUUUCAUUUUCCAGAAAGGAGAAACUGAAUAACAUGUAUAUUUUAACCUUGCCUGCAAUUGUAAAUCAAUAAAUUGGUGUAUUUACAUCAGAUCCCUGUGAGUUUGGUGCACAUAAGACAGUCAUGAAGACUUGGUCACUGUUGGUAGAGUUGGCCAAUAAAAUAUUGAACACAGUUAAAUUUGAAUUCAUGCAAUAUUUGGGGCAUAUUUAUACUAAAUAUGUGUUAU